AUCAACUUUCGAUGGUAGGAUAGAGGCCUACCAUGGUAGUAACGGGUAACGGAGUGUUAGGGCACGACACCGGAGAGGGAGCCUGAGAAACGGCUACCACAUCCAAGGACGGCAGCAGGCGCGCAAAUUACCCAAUCCCGACACGGGGAGGUAGUGACAAUAAAUAACAAUACGGGGUCCUUACGGUCUCGUAAUUGGAAUGAGUACAAUUUAAGUCUCUUAACGAGAAACAAUUGGAGGGCAAGUCUGGUGCCAGCAGCCGCGGUAAUUCCAGCUCCAAUAGCGUAUAUUAAAGUUGUUGCAGUUAAAAAGCUUGUAGUUGAAUUUCGGGAUCAAUUUAUCGGUCGUGCCAAUGGUAUGAACUGGUACAAUUGGUUUCUCCCUUCUGAUGAAGCUYGAUGUCAUUAACUUGGUGUCGUGGGGAAUCAGGACUGUUACUUUGAAAAAAUUAGAGUGUUUAAAGCAGGCCUUGGCUUGAAUACAUUAGCAUGGAAUAAUGAAAUAGGACGUUUGAUCCUAUUUCGUUGGUUUCUAGGAUCGACGUAAUGAUUAAUAGGGAUAGUUGGGGGCAUUAGUAUUCAAUUGUCAGAGGUGAAAUUCUUGGAUUUAUUGAAGACUAACUACUGCGAAAGCAUUUGCCAAGGAUGUUUUCAUUAAUCAAGAACGAAAGUUAGGGGAUCGAAGACGAUCAGAUACUGUCGUAGUCUUAACCAUAAACUAUGCCAACUAGGGAUCGGAUGAUGUUAAUUUUUUAAUGACUCAUUCGGCGCCUUACGGGAAACCAAAGUGUUUGGGUUC
rnacentral:rRNA from 1 species